GGUCGCGUAGCGCAAUGGUAGCGCGUUGGUUUUCGGUUUCUUUAUCACCAAAGGUUGUGGAUUCGAGUCCCACCGCGAUCG
rnacentral:tRNA from 1 species